CCAAAUCUUGCUAUCCACCGUUAGAGCCAGCACCAACUCCGCACUCUUGUCUUGUCUGACUUGCCUCUUCUUUACACUCUGUUUGACUCUCUUACUAUCAAAGGGUUGGAAAUGGCGGAGAGCGGCUGCGUCACCUGCGGUAGCACCGACAGGAAGAUGAUCUCAGCCGACGAAGCUCUUCAAAUUGUGCUUAGUGUUGCCAAGCAACUGCCACAUGUCACCGUCCCACUUCACCAAGCUCUCGGAAAAGUUUUGGCUCAGGAUAUCCGUGCUCCUGACCCUUUGCCUCCUUAUCCAGCUUCAAUCAAGGAUGGUUAUGCAGUGGUUGCUUCGGAUGGCCCUGGUGAGUAUCCUGUAAUAACUGAAUCAAGAGCUGGAAAUGAUGGCGUUGGUGUCACAGUGACUCCUGGAACCGUUGCUUAUGUGACAACUGGAGGACCAAUACCUGAUGGUGCUGAUGCAGUUGUCCAAGUUGAGGACACUGAACAGGUUAAAGCUUCUUCAGUUGAAUCAAAGCGUGUAAGGAUAUUGGUGCAAACUAGAAAAGGUGUUGAUAUUCGUCCAGUGGGAUGUGACAUUCAGAAAGACGCACUGGUUUUAAAAUCUGGAGAAAGAAUAGGUGCUUCAGAAGUGGGACUACUAGCUACAGUGGGUGUUACAAUGGUGAAGGUGCAACCUAUGCCAGCAAUUGCUGUACUUUCUACUGGAGAUGAACUUGUAGAGCCCACAACGGGGUUCCUAAGUCGUGGCCAGAUUAGGGAUUCCAACCGUGCUAUGUUAUUGGCAGCUGCAACACAGCAACAAUGCAAAGUGCUUGACCUUGGUAUCGUUGGAGAUGACAAAGAAGAACUUGAGAGGGUCUUGGAUAGUGCUUUUUCUUCAGGGAUUAACAUUCUUUUGACUUCUGGGGGUGUUUCCAUGGGAGAUAAGGAUUUUGUUAAGCCACUGCUUGAAAAGAAGGGGACAGUACACUUCAACAAGGUUUGCAUGAAACCAGGGAAACCAUUGACAUUUGCAGAGAUAUAUUUCAAUCAGACGGAGAAUGUACCAGUAAACAAAGUUCUUGCAUUUGGUUUACCGGGAAAUCCAGUUAGCUGUCUAGUUUGCUUCCAUCUCUUUGUGGUUCCCACCAUACGCCACCUAGCAGGAUGGCCAAAUCCACAUCUUACGAGAGUUCAAGCUCGACUUCAACAACCAAUAAAGACAGAUCCAUUCCGGCCAGAAUUUCAUCACGCCACUAUCAGAUGGGAGAUUAAUGAUGGAUCAGGCAAUCCUGGAUUUGUUGCUGAGAGCACUGGUCAUCAAAUGAGUAGUCGGCUUUUGGGUAUGAAGUCAGCUAAUGCUUUGCUGGAGUUGCCAGCAACAGGGAGAGUUAUUACUGCUGGAAGUUCUAUCUCAGCCACUAUAAUUUCUGAUUUAAGUGAUUUAAGUGGUACUCCAUUGGGAAAGACUGCUUUGUCAUCAGAUUCAAGUUCAACUACUACACUACAUAAAAGUACAUUGAGUGAAACAACAGCAGAUGGAGCUCAGGAUGUACAGUUCAAAGUAGCUGUUCUUACAGUGAGUGAUACUGUUGCAUCAGGCGUAGGGCCCGAUCGAAGUGGGCCUAGGGCAGUGUCUGUUGUAAAUUCCUCAUCUGAAAAGUUAGGAGGAGCAAAGGUAGUCGCAGCAGCUGUGGUUUCAGAUGAUGUGGGAAAGAUCAAGGAUGUUUUGCAGAGAUGGAGUGAUAUUGACAAAAUGGAUCUUAUCCUUACACUAGGUGGCACUGGCUUCACCCCAAGAGAUGUGACCCCAGAAGCAACCAAAGAGUUAAUUGAAAAAGAAACACCUGGUCUUCUGUAUGUCAUGAUGCAAGAGAGUUUAAAGGUAACACCAUUUGCUAUGCUGUCACGCUCAGCAGCAGGAAUAAGAGGAUCAACAUUGGUUAUUUUUAGAGAUGAUGGACAUGUUGAUAUGCGUCCAUCCAAUGUGGUUUAACUUAAAGUCAGCCUAUUGCGUACUGGAAGUUUGGAAUUUCAUAGUGGUGCGCUUGGGGACAAACUGAAAAAUCAAGCCAUAUCAUCAACAUGCCCGGGAAUCCUAAUGCAGUCGCUGAAUGCAUGGAGGCUUUGUUGCCUGCACUUAAGCAUGCACUAAAGCAGAUAAAGGGUGACAAAAGGGAGAAACAUCCCCGCCAUGUCCCUCAUGAACAAGCUACCCCUGUGGAUACCUGGGAGCGCAGCCAUAAGUUGGCCUCAGCUGGUGGUAUUGAACCCCCUUGUUCUUGUUCCCAUUAAUAUAUCUUUUUCUUUUAGGAGAAGAAAGCAAUUAUCUUGAAGGUAAAUUCCAUUCUCUCUUUUUGUGGUUUCAACAGUUCUCACAUAAUAUUUUAUGAUUUCUUUUUUCUCAAUUACAAUAGAUGACAAAUCCAUUGUAAAGAAAAACAAUAUAUAUUCUAUAAUAAUAAUAAUAAUAAUAAUAAUAAUAAUAAUAGUAAUAGAAAAUCAUCUCCCCUCCUUGCUGAAUUGAACCAAGUGUAAGAUAUUGGGAUGGUCAGAGUUCUUGUAGGAGUAUUUUCCUAGGAAGACGAUACUCAUUUUUAUCUCUUUUACAUAAGUGGGAAAUGCACUAAUCAGUUUUCUUUCUUAAGAGAGGGCAAUUUAGAUAUUUUUUUGUAACAAUACAGUUUUAUAUUAUACAAGAUUUUCCUUUCUUCUAGCAUAGAAAAUUAUAGGGUCCAAAAAUGAGGACCUCGGGAAUUUGUGUACUUCUUAUAAGAGAAUACCACACCCAUGAGCUUAUUCUAUCAAAACUAAGGAGGAGCUUCAAGCAAGCUUCUUACCACAGUGUCUUUCAGUUCUCAGGAGCUCUUCAACACCUGUCCAUACCUUAGUUUUUCCCUUUUAUAAAGUUUUGAUGAAGGAUUUGAAUAUAAUAUUAUAAUUUUGUAUCUAGAUCAUUUUGCACAAGUUCAUUAGGUUGUAAUGAUAUUAACAAAAGGAAUAAGAAACUUUAAAUAAUAAUUAAGAAUAAAGUUGGUUUGGAAUUAAAUUCCCACAUAAUAAAAUGUCAACAAUAUGUACACCACAAGAUUAAGCAAUUGCUGUUAAUUUUUGUUGAAGCAUUCAACAAUCAUGCAGUCCUUGUCUAUAUGUUGCUAUGCACAAUAAUGUCCAAUACAAACAUUUCCCAUAUGAGUGGAAACAUCCUCUAGAAUGUCAAUCACAUUAAAAAAUUCUGGCCUUUCCGAAGGAUCAUUACUUGUGCAGUCCUUUAUUAGCCUAAAACAUUAGCAACACCCAUAAUUAAUAAUCGGUUAUUAAAUCGAAACUUGAGAUGAUUAUGAAGCAUUCUUGUACUUACUGUUGAAUUCUUUUAGGACAUCGGCUUAUUGGAAACUUCAUUUCGAAGUCAACAGAAUCUAAAUGUAUGAAGUCAAAGUUCAUGUUGUUCAGGAGGUGUGUUCCUUCUAGCAUCUGCGGCACAAUUAGGGUCAUUAACAUGAACAAUGAAGGAGAUGGAAUAUGAUAUUUUUGACUUUAAGUUCUUCAAAAGCAUAUACCUGAUAAAAUAUGAACCCAAAUGCACGUACAUCUUUGUUGAUACCAUUUGAUAGGUUGCUAGGCAUGCUAGAAGUUUCAUUUAUUUGACCUGUGAAAAGAAAAGAAGAUGCCUCUGUAAUUGCAUCACAUGGUAGUAGCAAUAUCAACCAUGAAACCAUGUAAAGUUUGAGGGAAUGGAAGUGAUUUUUACAUACAA